CCCUUAGAUGUCCUGGGCCGCACGCGCGCUACACUGACAUGUUCAACAAACCUCCUAGUUCGACAGGAUUUGGGAAAUCUUUGAACGCAUGUCGUGAUAGGGAUAGAUUAUUGCAAUUAUUAAUCUUGAACGAGGAAUUCCUAGUAAACGCAAAUCAUCAAUUUGCAUUGAUUACGUCCCUGCCCUUUGUACACACCGCCCGUCGCACCUACCGAUUGAAUGGUCCGGUGAAGCCUCGGGAUUGUGGCCAGUUCACUUUAUUGGGAGUUGGCUGUGAGAACUUGUCUAAACCUUAUCAUUUAGAGGAAGGUGAAGUCGUAACA
rnacentral:rRNA from 1 species